UACGGAGGGUGCAAGCGUUAUCCGGAUUCACUGGGUUUAAAGGGAGCGUAGGUGGGCUGGUAAGUCAGUGGUGAAAUCCCCGAGCUUAACUUGGGAACUGCCAUUGAUACUAUCAGUCUUGAAUACUGUGGAGGUUAGCGGAAUAUGUCAUGUAGCGGUGAAAUGCUUAGAUAUGACAUAGAACACCAAUUGCGAAGGCAGCUGGCUACACAAUUAUUGACACUGAGGCUCGAAAGCGUGGGGAUUAAACAGG
rnacentral:rRNA from 1 species